rnacentral:rRNA from 1 species
UGGGGAAUAUUGCACAAUGGGCGCAAGCCUGAUGCAGCAACGCCGCGUGAGGGAUGACGGCCUUCGGGUUGUAAACCUCUUUUAGCAGGGAAGAAGCGAAAGUGACGGUACCUGCAGAAAAAGCACCGGCUAACUACGUGCCAGCAGCCGCGGUAAUACGUAGGGUGCAAGCGUUGUCCGGAAUUAUUGGGCGUAAAGAGCUCGUAGGCGGUCUGUCGCGUCUGCUGUGAAAUCCCCGAGGCUCAACCUCGGGCCUGCAGUGGGUACGGGCAGACUAGAGUGCGGUAGGGGAGAAUGGAACUCCUGGUGUAGCGGUGGAAUGCGCAGAUAUCAGGAAGAACACCGAUGGCGAAGGCAGUUCUCUGGGCCGUAACUGACGCUGAGGAGCGAAAGCGUGGGGAGCGAACAGGAUUAGAUACCCUGGUAGUCCACGCCGUAAACGUUGGGCGCUAGAUGUGGGGACCACUCCACGGUUUCCGUGUCGCAGCUAACGCAUUAAGCGCCCCGCCUGGGGAGUACGGCCGCAAGGCUAAAACUU